AAGUCGUAACAAGGUUUCCGUAGGUGAACCUGCGGAAGGAUCAUUAAUAAAAUGAUGAAUUUUUUGGGGUUUUCCCUGAAAAAUAAUUCACCUUUUGUGCACUGUUAUAAGAUAUACAUUGGUUAGAGCUUUGAUUUCAUUUAUUGGAAUCAACUUCUUGCUGACUCUAUCCUUUCUGAGGACAGUUGGCUAUGAAGCGGCCUACCAAGGUUUUUUAUCAAACUCAUUUAAUUUAUCUGACCUAAACUAUUAUAAUAAAAUCAUAACUUUCAACAACGGAUCUCUUGGCUCUC
rnacentral:misc_RNA from 1 species